AGCAUGAUGUAGUGGUUUGAUUGUUGGAUUCUAACUCUGGAGACCAGGGUUCGAUUCCCAGCCAUGAAA